rnacentral:rRNA from 1 species
CAACUUACCCAAAACUGAUGAAUAGCCCUCCGAAAGGAGGAUUAAUACGUCGUAACAUCAUGAGAUGGCAUCAUUUUAUGAUUAUAGCUCCGGCGGUUUUGGAUGGGCGUGCGGCUGAUUAGGUAGUUGGUGCAGGUAACGGCUCACCAAGCCAUCGAUCAGUAACUGGUGUGAGAGCACGACCAGUCACACGGGCACUGAGACACGGGCCCG